UUUUUUUUAUGAAAAUGGCGCGGGCGGACUGGCUGUCCGCUUUUCUUCCCUUCUUCCCGCCCUACUUUUUCUCGCCGGAAUUCUUCCGUUCUCCGGCGAUAUGAGCAAGCUCGUCGCGCCGACGCUCGCCCUCGUCUCCAGUUCUAUUCUUUGUCCUCCGCCGUCGUCGAUCUUCGUCGCGGGUCCUCUUUUUCUUCCGGUUAUUCUUCUGCCGACUUGCUUCUCCAGUGGACCAGGGAGAGAUUUCCUCGUUUUGUCUCCACUGUGAGGUUUCUUUGUGAACCCUAAUAGGGGUACCGGAAGGUGAGCCGGAGGUUGGCGGCCAGGAGGCAGGCGCCGGAGGAGAAGCCGUUGGAUCUCGAUGUCAAGAUUUGUAUCGAUGAAGAGUUUCUCGAUGAUCCCAAAUCAUGGCCAUUACAAGGACACUGAGGUUGGAUGUUCCCAUGGAAAUGAAUGUUGCAUUUGAUAAUGGCAGAGCCUCAGAAUGUAAAACCAGGGAAACUUCCAUAUAUAAUGUUAAUAAAUAUGAAAAGAUUGAAUUUUCAGUAUUGCUUUGCAAUGGUGAUUUUAUUGAAAAACUAAAAAAAAAAAAGAACUGGUGAGAUGAAGACCAUGCUAAUUAAGUUCUUUCUAUGCUGCAACCUAUUCCUGAACUUGAUCUUCCCGUGGUAGGGAAUUCUUUUGAGUCAAGAUCUAUCUUGAUGUCUGUGCUUGACUGACUUUUCUUUCACUUAACGUGCCUCUUUUAUCUCUGAAGCUGUUGCUAGGGUAUAGUAAUUUCUGUUGAAAAGCUUCAGGACAAGCAGAGGAGAGAGAGGUCAUGCACUUCUUGAAGAGAUAAGAAUCUUCAUGGUUCAUGGCUUAUUGCAUCUUUUGGGCUUUGAUCAUGAAGUCAGUGAUAAGGCAGAAUCAGAAAUGGAGAAGGAAGAGGAACUCAUUCUGAACAAUCUUCGGUGGAAGGGAAAAGGUCUGAUCAAGAGUGCAUGUGAUGCUGUCGCCAAUCAAGUCCAUCAAGCAGAUAGUGUUCAGAUGGUAAGCUGUUCUUACUUCAUAUUUCACCAGUACAAACUUUCCACAUUACCACAUGAGCAUUCUGUAGUACACCUUGAAACAAGAUUUUGAAAAGUCCUGGCAGUUUGAGAAAUUUUGUGGGAGAAGCUGCAAAGAAUAUCAAUCAGGAAAGGUGGUGGCCUUGAUUUUUGCAAAACAAACUUCAGCUAUAUCUUUUGUGAUAUGUAUGGUAAGAUGAGAUGGCAUAUCGCUUAAUGUUUCUUGAGUGUUUGUGUUUGUUUGUAGUUGUUUUCUUGUAGACAAGGUACUCUUCUGAAUGGUAAAAGUCAAAUUACUACAAGGCAUCAGAAGCUUUAAGGGAAGCAAUCUCAAGGAGAAUUAAAAUAGUCAUUGGCUGUUGGAGAAGUGAUACUUUUUUGUCUUAGCUCCAAUCCUCUAUCAAAGGUAUGCUUACUUGUUACUGAGCUCUAAAUAAGCUUGCUGUGUGAUCUCUCCUUUGAGUUGGCACUAGUCUGUUUGCAAAUGAUCAUUUUGUUCUGUGGUCAGAGCGCUACACUUUUAUUGGGUAGACCAAUAUAUCCUUCCUUUUUUUUUUGUUGAGUCUAAUGACUAAUUGAAACUGAAAAAAUGAGGAAGAAGAAUGAUUAUGAUCCAUAUUUGGACUUCUAUGCUGUUGUCAGCUGUAAGAUAAUGAUUUUGCUAAAGAAGUAGAUGGUGCUAAUUACAUUAUUUUGUUGAAUGUCUAUAAGCACACCCAUUUGGCCAUUAUGAGAGUUUUGAAGGUGGCAAGUUUGGCAGGAAUAGAGGGUCUUGUCUCUGAGACAUCACCCGGCAUCUUCCUACAGGUUAAUCCUUUUUUUCUUUCACCUCAUAUUUAUUUUAGAAGUCAGAAUAUGCAUAAACUGUGAAUAUAAGACAAAUAGUUCGCCAAGCUUCCAGCCAUUUGGCUUUAUGGAGGCUCUCAGUAUGAAUUUUUAAUCACAUGAUUGGAAGCAUUUUUUAAGUUUAAAUUACUAAAAUUACAUUGAAGUUAAAAAAAAUAAUUACUUAAAAAUAUUUUAAUUUUAAAUAUUUACUCUUGAAAAUAUUUACCUUUUCAUGUCUUCAGUAUUCUUUAAAAAAAAUUAGUUACUCUUCUAUUUUAAGGGGUAACCGUUAAUGCGAUAAAUAUUUAUCAGAGAAACACUUGUUCAGAAGAAAGAUACUGAUAGAAUAAUGCCACUGGCUACAUGCUCCCACAAGCACAUUUACACAAAAAGAUGGGGUUUUAGGGGUGGGCGGCGCUAUAAGUUGAUCACUCAACUGAUGUACAUGGGUAAUCUGGGAAAGAGGGAAUAAAAUUCUUCCAAAGAUCACAUACAUGAGAAAAUUAACAGCGAUUUUAAAAAUGACAUAACCAAUACCUCUUUCAUGGAUUUUGCUAACAGGAGAAGUUGCUGUUUGUACAUUUUGGAACCUGACUUAUCUGUUAGCUAUGGUAUGUCAAAUUUUGAAUAGUACAAUCUCACCAUGUGGCUUUAUUGAAUUAGAAUGUGUGGACACGAAGAGGUUAUUUGAUUGGCAUUGCAUGCCCAAUUGUCAUGAUUUAUUGGAUUUUGGAUAAGGCUCCAUACUGAAUUGAAUCAGCAAGGAUAAAUCUGCAAGUUCAUGUAUGGAGGAAACAACAAUUGAUCAUAUUCCUCAUCAAUCUCUAGUAUCUACCGAUCUAUAUCGUAAUUAUUACACUAUUAUUCGCUCCCUUCUGUCGGUGUUAUGUCCUGGAUGACUUUUUUCAAGUCAUUCGUCAUACUCUUUACAUGCUGUUCCUUUCCCUUUUGCUGGAUUUCUGGGAUUGCUAGUCUAUGGGAGAUGAGGUAAAGAAAUGUACAGAGAAACUUUACCAUAGUGUUUGCAGAGAGGUAAAAGGCCAUUUAUUGUUGUUAAGACAACUCCCUGCUGUAUAGCUUGGACUGACGUCUCUGAUACCUUUAAUUUUGUGUUAUUCUGAAAACUUCUCUGAUAUCUCUCUUUUUGAAUAUAUCAUGAAAGAGUGCUUUGGGAAAAAGUGUUCUAGGUGGAGUAUUAUUAGGCAUUAGUUCAGCGGGGCUUUUACUAAUUUAGGGAAAGAUAUUAUAUUGGUUAAACGGCGUUGAAGGCUUCUAACUGAUUAAAAUAUAUCAUUAAGUGAAAUUUAUGCACAGUGUUGUUGGGGAUGGAUUUUGCUUUAUCAUUGCUCUUACAAUGUUACUAGUUGGCUUAUGGGCUUUUUCCGAAUGAGGAUAACUCUGUCCAAAUGAAGGUCUGUGUUUCUUUUUCCAAAUGAGCAUAAUUCUUUAAGCGGAUACACCCUCCCAUAAGGAAUAAGGGAUGGUGAGAAUUAAGGCUCUUCUAAAACAUAAUAGUUAUUCCCUCUGAACUGCUUGUAGGAGAUGUGCAUUACGUUAAGUUGGAAAACACAUCAAACUUUGAAUUGAUCUAAGAGAUUGGCUUUUAUGUUGAGACCGACAACAUAGCAAACUCUUACUUGGUGCUAAAAAAUGGCUAAUGCCAAACUGUGUAGCUUUUGGAUCAGGAUUGUCAUAAUUUCUUACAGAAUUUCAGAAGAGCUCUAUCCAGCCCUUUUGUCUUUCCACAUGUACUCAUCUGAAGAUUUAGUAUUUAGUAGAAUCUGGAUUCUCAUGUCAUGCAAAUGAUCCUUUGGCAUCUAUUGCUAGCCUUUAUAAAUGGAUGUUUCUUUUAAGCUAGGCUUGUUAUUGCUUGCAUAAAAUUGGUACUUCACAUGUGCAGUAUGCGUUUGCUGUGUACUGAUAUGAAGCACUAACAUUUAAUGUAAAUGUAUUGAAGUAAUCUGAAAUUUAUGUCGGGCAUGGAACCUUUUUAUCAAUAUUUUUGUAUCAACAGCACAUGUAGUAACCUCCACCCCUACCCCCUCUUCCCCCCUCUCUAUCAUACAUGCAAACAGAUUAUUAUAUUCUCUCACACAUGCACAUGCAGAUUAUUAGGUUGUGUCUGGUUUUUGAUGAUUUAUUUUGAAAAACAUGCAUUUUUUGUAUUCAUUGGAGGAUGAGGAUCCUUCAAUAGCAUUGUGUCAGGACUAGAGCUGUUCACGUGCUGGAUGGCUCUCCCGGCCCAAGCCCUUUUGGGUAGGCAAAGGCCGAUGGUUGUAAGCCUGCCGGCUUAUGCUGGUUCUGGAAAAUAGGCUUGUUUAAUAAACGGGCUGGGCUCGGGAUUGGAGAUUAAAGGCCAGUCCAAGUUCUUUUAUGUUUCUUUUGUUAUUUGCUUAUGUUUGAUGUGUCUGUAGACUUAAUUGACAAUUGUUAUUGAUGUCUAAACUAAAUAGGAUGAUAGACAUGCUUUAGAUUGUUGGCAAUUUUUAACUGGUCAUAUUUGGUAUCUUUAAAAAAAAAAAGUAUUUUUAGUACUUCUAAAAAAAAAAUAAAAAAUGAUCAUGAAGCGCGAAGCCUGGCUCAAAGCCCUAAGCCUGAGUAAUAGCAAGGCUAAGACCUAGAAGGUAGGCUUGAAAGGUUGGAUCUGGUCCUAAGAAAAUUGGGUUGACCUUUGGGCCAAGCCCGGCACGAGCCCAGCACUACCCAGCCCAUGAACAGGGCUAGUCAGGACCGAUACUCAGCAUUGUUUGAACAUCCUUUGGUUGAUUUGCUUCAUACUGUAUAUCACGAUCCAAAAGGUGGUUAUAGAAUAUGAGGUCCUUUGCAAGAUAUAUCUCUUUGAUCUAAGCAUCUACAUGUUCUAAUGCUGAACACUUCUCUUUGCAGGGAGAGAUCAUGCCUUCAGUUGAAUCUCUAUAUGUUUUUUGAAGCAUGUUAUGAAUACAUAUUUGUGCAUCUUUGCUUGUCAUAGAGUUUGUUCUAUAACACCAAGAAAAGCAAGCUGAAUCAGAUCAUGCUUUCAGUUUAACAAUGCACAAAAAUUAAACACCUUGCUCAAUGACCUAAUGGAGACCAAUGGCAGUGCAUUAAUUUGUGUCUAUUGUCAAUGUCCUCAAUUUUAGUUUAUGUUCUCUUUCUUCAUUCCAUAGUGAACACUAGUGUCACUGGAAGGUGCAUAUCUAGACCCUUUCAUAUUAUACUCUCUCUUAGGGGAAGACGUUUCUUUUUCUUUUUUCCCCUAUUUUUGAGUGGAAAUUAUUGAAAAAUGAAAGUUCACAGGAGAAAGAAAGGGAGUAAUGAGUCUAUCAAUUUAGUACAACAAAAUUUGUAUAGAUAUAAUUUGACCACCAGCAUCUUUUCAAUAUAAAGAUCUAUAACAUAUUUCAAAGCUGCAAAAAUUACAGAAAAAGAGAAAUAAAUUCAAUUUUCCGUUGGAAAAAUGUCAUUGAGGUGUAUGAAUCCAUGAUCUGUUAUAUCCAAAAUCGAGGGUGAGCCCUCGGGCCUAAAGAGAGGCAAAAUAGGAGGCAGAAGUAGAAAAAAGACAAAAUCAAAGAAUUUUAUUAACUGAAAGUAGUGUUUUGUAUUAUUAUUAUUUUUAUCAUUCUAACUGGAUCAGAAUAAUUUUAGGGGCCAUGAUAGUAGACUUUCAAACGUUUCUAAUAAAAGAUAACCAAAGAUUUCCUAGUAAAGUUGCACUGGGUGAAUUGUG